CUUCCUCCCUUCCUCCGUGCGAGUUCCUUGUUGCUGGCGCUCCAGUAUUUUGGGGGAAACAAGUUCCAUUUGGGAUUUUGUUUCUUUGAGCAAUAAAGUUAUCCUACCCUAAGUAGUGGCCCAAGGUUGACUUGUUGGGAUCUCGACCCUCGGAGCUCAGGAAGGACAAUAAUCAAGGCUACAGAAAAAGCCUAGUCAAUCACGAAUUUGAGGUGCCGAUCGGGGCGACAUAUGCGAAUAGUGGCAAGGAUUUCGUCUUAUUAGGGUUCACCUAGUUUAAGCUUAAUUGUAUUAAGUUCAAGUAAGAAUUUUCAACUAAGUUAUGUAAGUCACUUUUGAAUAUUAAUAUAUAGAACAUAUUUAUAUUAGUUUUAUAAAAGUAUGAU